ACAUGCGCAGGCAGGUGAUGGCGGCGCUGGUCGUAUCCGGGGCAGCGGAGCAGGGCGGCCGAGACGGCCCUGGCAGAGGUCGGGCCCCUCGGGGCCGCGUGGCCAAUCAGAUCCCCCCUGAGAUCCUGAAGAACCCUCAGCUGCAGGCAGCAAUCCGGGUCCUGCCUUCCAACUACAACUUUGAGAUCCCCAAGACCAUCUGGAGGAUCCAACAAGCCCAGGCCAAGAAGGUGGCCUUGCAAAUGCCGGAAGGCCUCCUCCUCUUUGCCUGUACCAUUGUGGAUAUCUUGGAAAGGUUCACGGAGGCCGAAGUGAUGGUGAUGGGUGACGUGACCUACGGGGCUUGCUGUGUGGAUGACUUCACAGCGAGGGCCCUGGGAGCUGACUUCUUGGUGCACUACGGCCACAGUUGCCUGAUUCCCAUGGACACCUCGGCCCAAGACUUCCGGGUGCUGUACGUCUUUGUGGACAUCCGGAUAGACACUACACACCUCCUGGACUCUCUCCGCCUCACCUUUCCCCCAGCCACUGCCCUUGCCCUGGUCAGCACCAUUCAGUUUGUGUCGACCUUGCAGGCAGCCGCCCAGGAGCUGAAAGCCGAGUAUCGUGUGAGUGUCCCACAGUGCAAGCCCCUGUCCCCUGGAGAGAUCCUGGGCUGCACAUCCCCCCGACUGUCCAAAGAGGUGGAGGCCGUUGUGUAAGUUAAAAAUGGGGGCCAAGUAAGUCCUAGAGACAUGCGUGUACCCUGGGAGGGAGCCUGAGGUUCAUCAUCCAGGAAAGAAACCAAAUCUAAUGCUCCUUACCUGUGAGCCCGAGGUCACACUGCAAGGUAGGGACCAAACAGGGAGCAGACCUCAGGUUUACUGUCGCUUUCUCCACUGCCCAGUCCAUCAUCCAGAAGGCUGUGCAGGGUGGGGGCAGGAAUCAGAGGGCCUGAUGGGGGUUGAGGGUGGGCUGGAAAUGGUGGGAAUAUAAUUGGAGAAGAUGGAUGGGCACGCCCAGGCUGCAGCCCCAUUAAUUUACCAUCCGGACAGCUAACAAGCAGAAGCAGCGUGUCUCCUGCCGCCUAAUUAUUUUAGGUAUCUUGGAGAUGGCCGCUUCCAUCUGGAGUCUGUCAUGAUUGCCAACCCCAAUGUCCCCGCUUACCGGUAUGACCCAUAUAGCAAAGUCCUAUCCAGAGAACACUAUGACCACCAGCGCAUGCAGGCUGCUCGCCAAGAAGCCAUAGCCACUGCCCGCUCAGCUAAGUCCUGGGGCCUUAUUCUGGGCACUUUGGGCCGCCAGGGCAGUCCUAAGAUCCUGGAGCACCUGGAAUCUCGACUCCGAGCCUUGGGCCUUUCCUUUGUGAGGCUGCUGCUCUCUGAGAUCUUCCCCAGCAAGCUUAGCCUACUUCCUGAGGUGGAUGUGUGGGUGCAGGUGGCAUGUCCACGUCUCUCCAUUGACUGGGGCACAGCCUUCCCCAAGCCGCUGCUGACACCCUAUGAGGCGGCCGUGGCUCUGAGGGACAUUUCCUGGCAGCAGCCCUACCCGAUGGACUUCUACGCUGGCAGCUCCUUGGGGCCCUGGACGGUGAACCACGGCCAGGACCGCCGUCCCCACGCCCCGGGCCGGCCCGCGCGGGGGAAGGUGCAGGAGGGGUCCGCGCGUCCCCCUUCGGCCGUGGCUUGCGAGGACUGCAGCUGCAGGGACGAGAAGGUGGCGCCGCUGGCUCCUUGACGCGCUCCCGGGCCUCAGGGUCCUGCCCUCCGGAGGAGCAGCCUCGAGGCUGGUGGUUUUCAGAGCAGGAGGCCGACGUUUUCUCCGCAUUGGAAGAGCCCGCCGUCUGCAGGGGCCUGGAGGAAUCACUGGGGAUGGUGGCACAGGCACUGAACAGGCUGGGGCCUUUUGACGGCCUUCUUGGUUUCAGCCAAGGGGCUGCGCUAGCAGCCCUUGUGUGUGCCCUGGGCCAGGCAGGCGAUCCCCGCUUCCCCUUGCCACGGUUUAUCCUCUUGGUGUCUGGUUUCUGUCCCCGGGGCAUUGGGUUCAAGGAAUCCAUCCUGCAAAGGCCCUUGUCAUUGCCUUCGCUCCAUGUUUUUGGGGACACUGACAAAGUCAUCCCCUCUCAGGAGAGUGUGCAACUGGCCAGCCAAUUUCCCGGAGCCAUCACCCUCACCCACUCUGGUGGCCACUUCAUUCCAGCAGCUGCACCCCAGCGUCAGGCCUACCUCAAGUUCUUGGACCAGUUUGCAGAGUGAAAGAUCAAGAAAUGUCUCUGCUCCUACAUCCAGCUCCUCUAGGGGCAGCCUCCGUCAUCCAUGCCCUCCCAGGACCCUCCACUCACUGCUGUGAGUGCGCCUCACCAGAACCAGUUAAGAGACAACUAUCAAUUCUUGAGACCCAAAUUAUAAGGGCCCUGCCCUGUACUGAAGAAAAGGGGAGCACAAGGCCUUAAUGGACAUUGACUUGUGAAAACGCAAACAUGAAUAUGGUUGGAGAGCCCUGGAUUAGGAGGGUGACAUGGGGAAGGCAGAGGCUGGCACCAUGGUGACUGCCACAUAAUAAAGUGGUGAUUUGGAUUUUGAGCAUCUUUUUCCUGGUACACACAGAAAAACAUUUUAUAAUGGAAGUCGGUUUCUUGGCCAUCUACAUAGUUUUCUGGGCAGCGCCAAGCAGGGAGGUGUCUCCAGUUGUGAGUCCUCGGACAGGCUGCUGCAUGGGUGCACAUACUCACGUUAUUGGUGGAAGUUUUAAGUCCCAAACUGAAGGGAAGGAGGCCUAGGUGGCACAAUCAGGGAGGAAUAUACAUCUGAGAAGUUUUGGGAAGACAUCACCUGGCAAGGCUGCCUGAACCACAGUAAUUUAGUCUUCCUCUAUCCAGAUCACUGAGAGUUGUGUGCUGGUCUUCUCUCAAACCCUGGAUGUGUUACCUGCUUCUCCCUAAGUGCUCUAACCUCGCUGAACUAUGAGCCUGAAGGGUGGGUCGAUGCCAGACCUUAGGUGGAGGCCAAAGACAGUACAGAAUAAACAGCUUCUUCCUAAAUUGACCCCA